GAGGCUCCUGUCUUAUUAAACUGUAGACAUCCAUGGGAAUGGGAAUAGAGAAUAAGGUAGAUGGGCAAAAAGAUUUCGAUAGUGCUUCUGAUACAAGUCCUCACAGAUUCAUGGGAAGAACACUGAACAUCUGUUCUUAACCAAACCAAUUUGACAAUCAAGAAUAAUAAUCACAACUCCCAAAGCUAAAUAGAGGUGUGAUGGACAAUCACAGUUCUCAACUUAAUGGAAGACUGGCCUUUAGGCAUGCUUGUAGGAGAUUUUCUUGACCAGGUUCAUUGAGGUGGCA
rnacentral:lncRNA from 1 species